GGGCGCGUAGCUCAGCGGGAGAGCACUACGUUCACACCGUAGGGGUCACUGGUUCAAUCCCAGUCGCGCCCACCA
rnacentral:tRNA from 2 species